AAAACACCUGUGGCACUAAUAUAGUUAUAUGUAAAUGUACAUACAUACAUAUGUACACACAAAUUUAUAGAUAAAUCGAGCUGUGUCACUCUCCCUUUUUUCUAAACAUUCACGCGUCACACGUUGUGUAAUCAAUUGUUGAAGAUAGCGAAAAAAGACGCCACGGUGACGAUUCGUACAAAUUUUGUCAAUCCACAUCAACAACCAUCGUGAAUAUUCAAUGCUAACAACACGUCUCUGCCGCUCCCUAAAUCAAUCUAGAACCGCACGAGAUAUCGAAAAACCGGCACAACAACACAACAACCAACCGGCAAAAUUACCAACCACCGAAACUAUACUCACUACAAAUGUAAACCGAUGACUGGUCGCUCGCGCGACUCGUACACAACUGAAAUCUAAAGAAAAACA